UACGAAGGGGGCUAGCGUUGCUCGGAAUUACUGGGCGUAAAGGGCGCCGUAGGCGGACAUUUAAGUUAGAGGUGAAAGCCCCAGGGCUCAACCCUGGAAUAGCCUUUAAUACUGGAUGUCUUGAGUUCGGGAGAGGUGAGUGGAAUGCCGAGUGUAGAGGUGAAAUUCGUAGAUAUUCGCAGGAACACCAGUGGCGAAGGCGGCUCUCUGGACCGAUACUGACGCUGAGGCGCGAAAGCGUGGGGAGCAAACAGG
rnacentral:rRNA from 1 species